rnacentral:tRNA from 1 species
GGGAGCGGAAGGGCACCUGGUGGGCCCCCGGGUCUUCAAAACCCAGGAUCCGGCCACAAGCUGGAUGGUGGGUUCGAUUCCCAUGCGCUCCCGCCA